AUUGAGCGCUGGCGGCGUGCCUAACACAUGCAAGUCGAGCGGUAACAGGUGUAGCAAUACAUGCUGACGAGCGGUGAACGGGUGAGUAAUGCUUCGGAAUCUACCUUAUGGUGGGGAAUAACUAGCCGAAAGGUUAGCUAAUACCGCAUACGUCCUACGGGAGAAAGCAGGGGAUCGCAAGACCUUGCGCCAAAAGAUGAGCCGAAGUCGGAUUAGCUAGUUGGUAGGGUAACGGCCUACCAAGGCGACGACCCGUAGCUGGUCUGAGAGGACGACCAGCCACACUGGGACUGAGACACGGCCCAGACUCCUACGGGAGGCAGCAGUGGGGAAUAUUGGACAAUGGGGGAAACCCUGAUCCAGCGACGCCGCGUGUGUGAAGAAGGCCUGCGGGUUGUAAAGCACUUUUAGUGGGGAUGAAAUGUGCAGGGUUAAUACCUCUGCAUUUUGACCUAACCCACAGAAAAAGCACCGGCUAACUCUGUGCCAGCCGCCGCCGUAA
rnacentral:rRNA from 1 species